rnacentral:tRNA from 1 species
GGCUCUGUGGCACAAUGGAUAGUGCAUUGGACUUCUAAUUCAAAGGUUGUGGGUUUGAGUCCCACCAGAGUCA